UUGCUGUUUCUCUCUCCAGAAACACACACUAGGACAGCCUUCUCUCUCACUCUAUGUUUCUCUCUCUCUAUUUCGCGGAAACCUAAAGUGGUGACGACUAGGGUUUUCGGGAGUUUCGCCAUCGAAUUACUCACAAACGGCUUUAAAUCUUGAUAUCUUAAACAUGAAUAGCCAUGAUGAAAAGAGAAUUUUCCCAGUAGAUGCCGAAGGGAACAAUGCUUCUUCUGUACUAAACUCCUGCAGCUCCACCAUUAAGAUUGAUUCAUUAUGUAUCAAACUUGGCUUUGUCAAGGAGAAGGGUGAUGCUGAAAAAUGUAGCCAUUUUUCUAUAAGAGGUUAUGUUUCUGGGAUGCGUGAAAGAGGUAGCAGCAACUUCUUACCUUUUGCUGAAGCACUUCCUCCUAUGGAUGUGCCAAAUUUUAAAUAUUGGCUUUGUCAAAGUUGUGUGCAUAACUGUGGAAAUGCAAAAACCUCACAUGAGACUCCAGUAGUCUCUGUGUGUGAUCAAAGUAUGAUCCGAUCAUGUGCAAGGUCUUUCCCUAAACAAGACUGUGGAGUAACAGUGCUCCCUUUUGGUGAAGGCACUUCAGGUCUUAAAUCUGUUGAUAAUACGAAAGAUGAUGAUGAUGAAAAUGUCCUUCCUGCUUUUGGAGUUGAUAAAAGUCAACCUUCUCAAGAAAUACCUGUUGAUAAUGCAGUUCCUAAAGAACCAGUUAAAAUUAGUGACACCAAUGUUGCUUCAGAGGCAAGUGCAGGUUUAUUAUGUAGGAAAGAGAGCAAUGAUAGGAGAGAUGAUGAGUAUCAACAGCAAGACAGUGUAGUAAUAGAGACAAUAACUGGUGUUGUUGGAACUCCAAUCCGAUCCAGUCAGCAAAAUGAUCAAUCAAAUGGACAUACAAGACGAAAGGCUCGUAAAGUGCGUUUGUUGAAGGAGUUGCUGUGUGGAAAUAAUGAAAUCCAGCAAAAAGAAAAGGAAAAUUCUAAUACUGAAUUGGAUCCAGAACCAUGUAAUCCAUUGCCAACUUCUUCCUUUAUCAAAAGGAAAGUGCCACAUGAUCAAGAUCAGAUACCUGUUGAUAUAACCACUCCUGUGAAUGCUUUUAAAAAAACAAAGACCUCUAAAGGGAAUGCAGUUGCAGUUGCAGUUGCAAAAACCACCAUUGUUGAUCAACAUUUUAAAGAUCAAGAAGCCACUGAAAGUACACCAAACGAUAAUAGGACUCAGAAGAACUCCAAUUUUGAUAAGGUUAGUAGUGAUCCAGUAACUGCAUGGAGGUCAAUAUUCAGUGAUAUGACUAAAACAGACAAUCAUGUUACUACUACUGCCACUGGUGCUUGUAAACCAACUAGUGAUAUCUCAAAAGACAGAGGAAGCGGACCCCACUCAAACUUCAUGGCCCCACCACAUCCGGAGAAAAAGUUAAAUUUUUCUAUGAAUAUGUCAAAAAAUCCUCUCAAAAGUAAAUCUUUUGGAGAGGAAUUAUAUUCAAGGAGAGCAAAUGUAGAUGAUUGUUCUAGACCAAAAGAUCUCAAGGCACAUCCGGAGAAAAAGUUGAAUUUUUCUAUAGACAUGUCGAAAGAUCCUCUCAAAAGUAAAUCUUUUGGAGAGGAAUUAUAUUCAAGGAGAGCAAAUGUAGAUGAUUGUUCUAGACCAAAAGAUGGCAAGUCAGAAGCGGAAUUAGGACUUAAUCUUUCUCUAAAUCAUGACCCACAAACACUCAUCAAUCGUCCUCUCACCAAUGAUAAUCAUAGAAAAGAUAAUUUGUUCUUUGGGGAUUUGAAAUCAAGAAUUCAUAAUUGGAUUCCAUAUGAUUCAAAAUCAAAAAAAGGAUCAGUUCAUGAUGUCAGCAAGGGACAUGCUACUAAACAAGUACAGCAGCCCUAUACAUACGGGAGUUGGUCUGGACAUCAGAAAUUGGAUUUUUCUGAUCCACACAAGAGGAACAAUGGAGUUAAAGGAUACCCAGAUGUAAUGAGGCCUUAUAAUCGUCAAAGAAAAGGACCAAUGGUGAUGUUGGGGAGAUCAGAUGAAACUGAAGUUGUUGAACUCAUGGCAAAAAAUCAAUACGAGAGAAACUUAUGUGAAGCUAGAAGUAGUAGUAGCAACAACACUUUCAUACCAAAUGUAUCAGGUUUACAUAAUAUCAACAUUCACAAACGUAUGACAUCAUCAUCAUCAUCAUCAUCAUCAUCACAUCAAGACAAUCUCCACCCUUCAACGAGUGAGAAACCCAAUAUGGGUCCCACCACCAUGAGAAAUCAAGCUUCUGGAUUCUUCAAUCAACAACUUUUUGAUUUCAAUGAGUUUGAUGGAAAUUGGAGACACAAUAACUCACGUUACAAUUGUAUACCAAUACCAAAGAAGAAAAAGAAAACUCCACCCCUCGUCUCUUACCAGUUGAUUAAGCCAAGUCUUACCUUUGGAUAUACAAAAUGCUCAGAGAAAGAUAAUGAAAAGGGCAUCAUGGAUUUGGAUCUGAAUGUUGUGGCUCCAAAUGUUAUUGAAGAACAAAACAGUUUCCAAUCAUUAAAUCCGACAUCAUCCAAACAACAUCAUCCGAAAAAGAUACAUUCGUUAGAUUCUUCAUAUCCAAAUGAAACGAUCCCUGCGAUGCAAUUACUUAGUCUAAUGGAUGCAGGAAAGUCAAAUCAUCAGGUGAAUAAUACAGAUGAAAGAAAGCUUCCAAAACCUCUUUCUCCUUGUUACACUCACUGCAGCAGCUCAAACAUGAUCAAUGGAAAAACAAUACCAAUACCCAAUGUUCAGUUCCCAAAACCGAGGUAUCUCCAGUCAUCUUCAUUUCCUUGUGGGUUUCAAACUGGUCAAAAUGUUAAGUUGACUUCCAGUCAAUCAAGAGGUAUGUCUUCAGCUUCUGUUUUCAGACCACAGGAAUCUUAUGUUUUUCCUGUUCCAUGUCAUGUGAGUGAAGAUCGAAGUGAAGGUGUGGCUUUAAGAGAUAGAAUUGAGCCAAUUGGGAUUGAGAUUUGUACAAUUAACAAAAACCCAGCUGAUUUUAGUACACCAGGACCCGAAAAUCUGUAUAUGAUUAGUGUUGAAGAUCUGGUAUUCAGAGGGGAGAAGGGAAAAUCAACAACAGAAAAUGCUAAUGGACCAAAAAGGCAAAAAAGAUCAUAAAUUUGAUGACAGGUUUUGUGACUUUUACUGUCAAAAGAGCAGAAUAAUAAGGAAAAAAGAGAGAAGCAUUUGUGACAUGAAUACUUUUUAGCUAAAGUAAAGUUGUUAAGUUAUUGCCUUUAUGGUUGACAGGUUAUUGAUAAUUUUGUAGGUACUAUUCUCACAAAGCCGUAUAAAGUAAAGAUGAUGUAUUGACUUGUACAUAAUGCAGCAAAAAAGUGCAUUUACUUCUGGAUUUUCAGCUGUGGAAAAGGCUUUAGGUUCCAUGUGCUUUACAGGCAAGAAUUCGGAAUCUUUAGUUCAGAGAUCCAAAGGUCUUAAGGCGUAUUCUCAAUUUUAGAAUUAUAUGUAUAUGAAGGUUAUUUGUAGAAAGUCAUACUCCAUCCAAUUGUAGGGGGUGCUUCAUUAGAAGAUUUCCGACAUGAAAUGUGACUCACAAUGGUGAAAUAAGGAGGGUGAGGGUGGUGGUGAGUAGGGGAGUAAACAUUAAAUCAGAUGCUUGUAAUAAAAUUGAAAUAAAAAGGACAAAAGUAUAUAUGAAAAUAUUGUAACAAAAGCACACACACAAGUGGAGCAAUGACUCAUACUACCCCACUAGCUUAAUUUAAAACCUACCCUCUCAUACAACCCAUCAUGUAUUACCUCACACUAUUCAAACAAUUCUUUUCCGGUCAUCAUCUUCUCUUUGCACCAUAAAUUAUGACGUUUCCCACUCUUCUAAUUGUAACUGUCAGUUGCCUCCGUUUGGAUAGGUCCGAACCAUUGUAAUCUUCAUUUCCUUAAUUCUUUGGUGUCGACACCAC